rnacentral:lncRNA from 1 species
GAUCGUCUGCCCAACUCUCGCCAGGACUCAAGCACGCAUUUCAAACCUGAAUUCCUCCGAAGAAGAGUCUAAUCUAUUACAUCAGCAAUUCUUCCAAGCAAAACUUUAUAACUCCACAGUAACUUCAGGGAUAACAGUGACAUAAGUCAGCCCUUCGACGGCUCUUAAAACUAUCGUUCACGCGCUUUACAAGAACAAAGUCGUACAAUCCUAAUGUACAAAAACCCAAACAGCGGAAACAUAAAAAUACCCCAGCCAUAAGUCACCACGAGAGCCACACAUUUUCCAGCUUCAAGUGGUAACACAAAGGCGAAAGUACGCAAGCAGGAUUACAC